AUACGGAGGGUGCAAGCGUUAUUCGGAAUCACUGGGCGUAAAGGACACGUAGGCGGGAAGCCAAGUCUGAUGUGAAAUCCUAUGGCUCAACCAUAGAACUGCAUUGGAAACUGGUUACCUAGAGUAUGGGAGGGGGAGAUGGAAUUAGUGGUGUAGGGGUAAAAUCCGUAGAUAUCACUAGGAAUACCUAAAGCGAAGGCGAUCUCCUGGAACAUUACUGACGCUAAGGUGUGAAAGCGUGGGGAGCAAACGGGAUUAGAAACCCGAGUAGUCC
rnacentral:rRNA from 1 species